UGUGGUUUAUAUGAUAUGCAAUACGUGGCAUUUUCUCCCAUUCUUCAUUUAUUUGGCCUCCACCGUCCUGCUGCUGCAAUGGAAUGAGUGCUGGGUAUUAUCACUGACGAAAUUAUAUUGGAAGAAACAAGGAAACUAUUAUUUGUUCCUGGAUAAACUUUAUUAUCAUGCUUAAAUACGGCAUAAAUACACAUGAAGUAGAUCUAUACCCGAAGGCAGGCGGCCGUGCUUGUUAGUCUCGCAUUUGCCUCCACUCCAGCCGGGGAGAACUAAAAGGCAAAUGCAGGAGGAACAACAACAGGCCCGCCGUCUCCCCCUGGCACGAGUCCACUAUAGUCUAUAAAAGAACGGAUAAAACACUUACACUUUACAGCAGCUUAACUUGUACAUUCUUUGAGGCAAUCAGUGCAGUAAACUCAGGGGUGUGGAGUCGGAUAUACAAAAGUUUCGACUCUUGAUUCCUACUCCGACUCCAGGAAAUUUGAAGGUUGCAACACUGAUUCUGACUCCAGGAAAUUUGAAGGUUGCAACACUGAUUCUGACUCCAGGAAAUAUGAAGGUUGCAACACUGAUUCUGACUCCAGGAAAUUUGAAGGUUGCAACUCCGAUUCCGACUCCAGGAAAUUUUAAGGUUACGACUUCAGCUCUGACUCUAACCUCUCCCCCUUCCCCUUUUCUGCAGUACAGUGGUAGGCAAAUCAAAUCCCGCCACACCACUUCACACGUAUCGUAAAGGAGUCGAAGUCGGAGAUAUUUUUAAUGACUCCGACUCCGGCCAAAAUUAGGCGACUCCGACGAUUCCGACUCCACACCCCUGAUUGAAAGUAGUAGUGGGAGUGUCUACACUUGGCAUGCAUAAGCACUGUACGGCCUGCUCACUGAUUAAUUUGCAUGCAUGAAAUUCUCUUAACAAGCGAUGGUCUCCCAGAGCCAUCGCUGCUGCCAGAUUAUUGUUUUAUAGAGAAUUAUUGUCCCUACCUAUUUCUUUUUUUGCAAGCUUGUAUAGUCUAGGACUAGGCUGAAUUUUCAUUCCUGCAAGCUUUGAGAGUACAAUUAUGACCCUCCUUUUCCUCAUCUUACUGUUUGGCUUGACCUUACUCAUAAUUCGUGACUCGUUUUACUCGGCACGUCCUUCCCCUUCAUACGUUCACCCGCACCGCAUCUCACUCGUACUCAUUCAUACCUUGACAAAGAUUUAUAAUUCGUGACACCUUGUUUUACUCGGCAUUUUCCCUACGCACUUUCAUCUACACCGCACCUCAUUAACACCUGACAAAGACUCGUAAUUUGUGACACCUUGUUCUACUCUGCAAUUCCCCUUCACACCUUCACCCACACCACACCUCAUUCACACCUGGCAAUGACUCAUGUAAUUCCUGACACCUUGUUCCCUUCACCCACACCUUACCUUCCUCACCUGGCACUCAUAAUUCGUGGGAACUUUUUAUUCCUGCGCUUUCCCUUCGCACCUGUUGACCGAUACCACACCUGGCAGACUCAUCAAUCGUGACAACUUGUUUCCCUUCACAGCUGACCUUUUCCCUUUUUCCCUUUCCUUUUUCAUAUAUUUUUCCCUUCACAACGGUAGAUCCACGCCCCACCAUGUCUCGCUCACACCACAACACUGCCCUCAACACCAUAACACUGUCCCCAAUACCACAACACCACACCUCACCUCAUCUUGCUCACACCACAACACUGCCCUCAACUCCUCAACGCCACAACACCACACCUCACCUCAUCUUGCUCACACCAUAACACUGCUCUCAACUCCUCAACACCACAACACCACCCUCAACACCACACCUCACCUCAUCUUGCUCACACCACAACACUGCCCUCAGCUCCUCAACACCACAAUACCCAUCUCCUCGUCCUUGUCAGUCAGUCCUCUCACACCACCGAGCAAUAUCUAUCCUUC